rnacentral:rRNA from 2 species
GGGUUGUGAGGUUAAGCGACUAAGCGUACACGGUGGAUGCCCUGGCAGUCAGAGGCGAUGAAGGACGUGCUAAUCUGCGAUAAGCGCCGGUAAGGUGAUAUGAACCGUUAUAACCGGCGAUUUCCGAAUGGGGAAACCCAGUGUGACUCGUCACACUAUCAUUAACUGAAUCCAUAGGUUAAUGAGGCGAACCGGGGGAACUGAAACAUCUAAGUACCCCGAGGAAAAGAAAUCAACCGAGAUUCCCCCAGUAGCGGCGAGCGAACGGGGAGGAGCCCAGAGCCUGAAUCAGCAUGUGUGUUAGUGGAAGCGUCUGGAAAGGCGCGCGAUACAGGGUGACAGCCCCGUACACAAAAGCGCAUGUGCUGUGAGCUCGAUGAGUAGGGCGGGACACGUGGUAUCCUGUCUGAAUAUGGGGGGACCAUCCUCCAAGGCUAAAUACUCCUGACUGACCGAUAGUGAACCAGUACCGUGAGGGAAAGGCGAAAAGAACCCCGGCGAGGGGAGUGAAAAAGAACCUGAAACCGUGUACGUACAAGCAGUGGGAGCCCCACCACUAAGCCAGUGGUGAACUCCACAUACGCAUCCUUUGCUGAGGAUACGGUUAACGGAGCGAAAGCGACGUUCAACCGCAAAAGAAGCAGAGGGGGCUUAGUGGUGGGGUGACUGCGUACCUUUUGUAUAAUGGGUCAGCGACUUAUAUUCUGUAGCAAGGUUAACCGUAUAGGGGAGCCGCAGGGAAACCGAGUCUUAACCGGGCGUUAAGUUGCAGGGUAUAGACCCGAAACCCGGUGAUCUAGCCAUGGGCAGGUUGAAGGUUGGGUAACACUAACUGGAGGACCGAACCGACUAAUGUUGAAAAAUUAGCGGAUGACCUGUGGCUGGGGGUGAAAGGCCAAUCAAACCGGGAGAUAGCUGGUUCUCCCCGAAAGCUAUUUAGGUAGCGCCUCGUGAACUCAUCUCCGGGGGUAGAGCACUGUUUCGGCUAGGGGGCCAUCCCGGCUUACCAACCCGAUGCAAACUGCGAAUACCGGAGAAUGUUAUCACGGGAGACACACGGCGGGUGCUAACGUCCGUCGUGAAGAGGGAAACAACCCAGACCGCCAGCUAAGGUCCCAAAGUCAUGGUUAAGUGGGAAACGAUGUGGGAAGGCCCAGACAGCCAGGAUGUUGGCUUAGAAGCAGCCAUCAUUUAAAGAAAGCGUAAUAGCUCACUGGUCGAGUCGGCCUGCGCGGAAGAUGUAACGGGGCUAAACCAUGCACCGAAGCUGCGGCAGCGACACUAUGUGUUGUUGGGUAGGGGAGCGUUCUGUAAGCCUGUGAAGGUGGCCUGUGAGGGUUGCUGGAGGUAUCAGAAGUGCGAAUGCUGACAUAAGUAACGAUAAAGCGGGUGAAAAGCCCGCUCGCCGGAAGACCAAGGGUUCCUGUCCAACGUUAAUCGGGGCAGGGUGAGUCGACCCCUAAGGCGAGGCCGAAAGGCGUAGUCGAUGGGAAACGGGUUAAUAUUCCCGUACUUGGUGUUACUGCGAAGGGGGGACGGAGAAGGCUAUGUUGGCCGGGCGACGGUUGUCCCGGUUUAAGCGUGUAGGUGUGUGUUCCAGGUAAAUCCGGUUCACUUUAACACUGAGGCGUGAUGACGAGGCACUACGGUGCUGAAGCAACAAAUGCCCUGCUUCCAGGAAAAGCCUCUAAGCAUCAGGUAACAUCAAAUCGUACCCCAAACCGACACAGGUGGUCAGGUAGAGAAUACCAAGGCGCUUGAGAGAACUCGGGUGAAGGAACUAGGCAAAAUGGUGCCGUAACUUCGGGAGAAGGCACGCUGACAUGUAGGUGAAGUGAUUUACUCAUGGAGCUGAAGUCAGUCGAAGAUACCAGCUGGCUGCAACUGUUUAUUAAAAACACAGCACUGUGCAAACACGAAAGUGGACGUAUACGGUGUGACGCCUGCCCGGUGCCGGAAGGUUAAUUGAUGGGGUCAGCGCAAGCGAAGCUCCUGAUCGAAGCCCCGGUAAACGGCGGCCGUAACUAUAACGGUCCUAAGGUAGCGAAAUUCCUUGUCGGGUAAGUUCCGACCUGCACGAAUGGCGUAAUGAUGGCCAGGCUGUCUCCACCCGAGACUCAGUGAAAUUGAACUCGCUGUGAAGAUGCAGUGUACCCGCGGCAAGACGGAAAGACCCCGUGAACCUUUACUAUAGCUUGACACUGAACAUUGAGCCUUGAUGUGUAGGAUAGGUGGGAGGCUUUGAAGUGUGGACGCCAGUCUGCAUGGAGCCGACCUUGAAAUACCACCCUUUAAUGUUUGAUGUUCUAACGUGGACCCGUAAUCCGGGUUGCGGACAGUGUCUGGUGGGUAGUUUGACUGGGGCGGUCUCCUCCUAAAGAGUAACGGAGGAGCACGAAGGUUGGCUAAUCCUGGUCGGACAUCAGGAGGUUAGUGCAAUGGCAUAAGCCAGCUUGACUGCGAGCGUGACGGCGCGAGCAGGUGCGAAAGCAGGUCAUAGUGAUCCGGUGGUUCUGAAUGGAAGGGCCAUCGCUCAACGGAUAAAAGGUACUCCGGGGAUAACAGGCUGAUACCGCCCAAGAGUUCAUAUCGACGGCGGUGUUUGGCACCUCGAUGUCGGCUCAUCACAUCCUGGGGCUGAAGUAGGUCCCAAGGGUAUGGCUGUUCGCCAUUUAAAGUGGUACGCGAGCUGGGUUUAGAACGUCGUGAGACAGUUCGGUCCCUAUCUGCCGUGGGCGCUGGAGAACUGAGGGGGGCUGCUCCUAGUACGAGAGGACCGGAGUGGACGCAUCACUGGUGUUCGGGUUGUCAUGCCAAUGGCACUGCCCGGUAGCUAAAUGCGGAAGAGAUAAGUGCUGAAAGCAUCUAAGCACGAAACUUGCCCCGAGAUGAGUUCUCCCUGAGACUUUAGGUCUCCUGAAGGAACGUUGAAGACGACGACGUUGAUAGGCCGGGUGUGUAAGCGCAGCGAUGCGUUGAGCUAACCGGUACUAAUGAACCGUGAGGCUUAACCUUACAACGCCGAAG